CAGCCGUAAACUAUGCUCGCUAGGUGUCAGGCAUGGCGCGACCGUGUCUGGUGCCGCAGGGAAGCCGUGAAGCGAGCCACCUGGGAAGUACGGCCGCAAGGCUGGAAACUUAAGGAAUUGGCGGGGGAGCACAACAACGGGUGGAGCCUGCGGUUUAAUUGGACUCAACGCCGGACAACUCACCGGGGGACGACAGCAAUAUGUAGGCCAGGCUGAAGACCUUGCCUGAAUCGCUGAGAGGAGGUGCAUGGCGUAGACGUCU
rnacentral:rRNA from 1 species